rnacentral:lncRNA from 1 species
AAAGAAUUCUCAAAAUACCUCAGUGAACAAGAAUUAUAUAAUAAAUUUAAACAGGUUGCUGUAAUAUUUUUUUAUGCAUUUGUGAUCUUAUAUUGUUCAAAGUAAUAAAAACAUUGUACCCCAUAAACACUUGGUCAUACUUGUAUCUUAGCCUCAUUUUUCUUCCACUGAAUCAUUCUUUCCUCCAUUAGGCAUCGAGCAAGCCGUCUCCAAGCAUGAAACAUCAUUCACCUCAUUUCAGACAGACUCUGUGACAAAUUACAGCCUCCUCAGACAUUAAAAAUACAUUGAUCAAGAGAAGUUGUAAGACAUGGAAGAAAAAUUAAUCCAUACCCCUCUUAGAAAGAAAAGAAGAAACCACUUUUGAGAAUGACCUUUGGCUGAACAGACCAUCAAAUCUUAAAGGUACCUGCCAGUUUCGCAUGCCUUCUGAGGACACUGAAGAAUAUCUUCAUAAGAUGCUGGAGCAAAGUCUCAGAAGAGAACACAUGGAGACAACAGGUGAUAAAUAUAAAGGCCUUCGUGGGUUCUCAGAUACUAUUUACAACUUUAAAGAGCAACUGAAUGAUUUUGGACCUCUCUUGAAAUUCAAAACAAAUUGGAAGCCAGACGGUGGUUACCCAUAAUCCCCACAUGAGAUGAAAAUCAGGAAGCCCAUCUGCUUGAAUUACCCAUUUCCACAUGGAAGUUAGGAUCUCCAGCUAUUCAUAAUCUGGUGAGUCAUUUCAUUUUUUUCUUUUCUUAUGUGUGCCAAAGGAAAUUUCUGCUGAGGAAUAUAGGGUUC